rnacentral:tRNA from 14 species
CGAUAGCUCAGUUGGGAGAGCGUCAGACUCAUAAUUAAUAUAU